CGCAGCACUCUCAAAUCCCAGCCAAGCCUCUCCUGGCAACGCCGCCCUGCCUACCGCGGAGGGGGAGUCUGUCCUGCUGUAUGUACCUCCGUAUGAGGUACACGCCUGGGCUGCUGCUUCUACUGCUGCUGCUGCUGCUGCUGCUGCUGCAGCCACACCAGCAGAUUCACAAUCCCCCUGCUGACUGGGUAAACGGCCAGUCACUGUUUCUGCGUGUUUUUUUUUGUCAGUUAGCUGUCUUUAACUGUAUAGGUGCUGGAUGGGGUUGAACGGUAUGCGUGCGCGAGCAGGCACGCAUGCGCCGGGCCGUAUUCAAAUACCCAACGUGUUAUUGCCCUUGCCCCCCCCUCGAAGAAAUUCCUCACGGGACUUAAUCUGCAUUUUGCUUCUCCUUCUCUCCUUCAGCACGAAUCCUGGAUCAAUACACCACGGGUAGCAGCCGUGGACACUAAGGCCAAAGCGCAGCAUGGGCUUGCAAUCCGGUCGACUCCAACAACACUCCACCAGCCAAUCAGAGCUCAGUGCCAUUGCGGUCCUGGUAACUGUUAAAGAUAAUCCCCUUUGCUGAGGAACAAAAGAAAAAGAAAAUACCGCCUUUUUUUGCAUGAACCUAUUCCACUCGCAACUGCUUUGAAACUGUUAUUCUGAUUGUUUCUCUCUGCUUGCUGGUGCAUGCCUGGUUAGUUAUGACUGGACGUGUAUCUGAGCUGGAAUGACCCCUGCCCACUGGCACUGUUCCCACAGUACUGUGGCAAUCUUAAGCACAAUAUAAAAGUCAACAACAGGUACACAAAAACACACUCACAGAGCAUUAGAUUUGAGACGUUGAGGUUCAUAUUCAGCUCCUUAUAAUACUUUGUAUUUAAUUUACCACCAAAAUAAGCAUUGUUCUUUGUUAAUAAUAUAGUUAUAUGAUUUUCAGAAUAAUGGUUUAAUUAUCUAUUAACUAUUAUCCAGAAUUGUGUAUUUCUUUACGCUCUACUUGCUUUAUUCUCAGCACGGUUGGGUGGUUCCUCGAACAUGUUCAUGUUUUGGUGUUCUGUCAACACAUGCCCAUUUUGGCGUUUCCGUCCAGUGAAAAGCACGCUGCAGGAAUGUGAAACACAAGGGCCCGGGCGUUGACGGGCCGCGGAUCUCCAUGUAACAACAGGUCCUUCUGGGCCUGUGUCCACACAACGGUACAGUAUUGGUUCAAAGCGGGGGGGGGGGGGAAGGAGGAAACACGAAAAACCCUGAGUCGGAGUGAAAGCUGGGCCUCUUAACAAGCUGAUAGGAAGGGAAAUGGACUGUGGCGUCACGAUUCCCGGUCUAAAAGGAUGAGAACCUGUCAAGAUGUCCAGCUGUCACUUCACUCUGCACCCUAAGCUAUCUUCUGGAUGUGAGUGACGAGGGCUGGGAAUAUCUUCUUCCGGAACAUGGCACUCCCAUCCAAUUGCAUUUCCCCCGUUAGACAAAGCUGGCCAAAACAUUGGGUGUAAUACCCUCAUCAUCACAGAUAGCUUCGUUACUGUGGAUCUGCUCACAAGCAUAAGGUGGUUGCAUUAUUAUUUGACCCGGCAUUACCUGCUAUACCUCCCCCGCUGCCACACACACAGAAACAAACAUGCACACUCACAUGUACGCACAGACAUACGCUCUCACAUACACACAGUCAUUCACACCCACGCACCGACACACACAAACACGCACACACACACACACACACACACACACAAGCAUAUGCAGACACCGAGACACACACGCAUAUACUAACACCCCAGACAAUCUCAAUGCUGAAAUGAAAGAAGUUUAUGCGGUUGCCAUGGCGAGAGGCGUCCUUUGGUAAGGGAGAAAUGAAGAGUAGUCACAUGAUCCGCAGCCCGUCUCCAGAAGAAUAUGAGCGCCCUGGUUUUGUCAAGUGUCUGAAAUAUCAUGGCUGCACUCCGCAGGGCAACGCUACAGCGAGGAAUGAGGCCAAUCAUUCCAAUUAAUCCUCGCAGGAAUUAUUUUCAUAUAAAAUGCAAGUCCACUGGGAAGCAAAAUUGGGAAAUAUUAAUAGCUAUCGUCCACAAGAAAAGAUAAAUAUUCCCACAAAUGUGGACAAUGUCCCUUCAUAGCAAACAUUACAUGAAUUUAUUACUUUAGCCGUGCGGAAGAAUUUGCUUGCAUCUUUAAGAUACUGCCUCUUAAAUGUAUUGUAUUUCAUUCAAGGUCAGACAAGCAAACAAAAUACACUUUCUCAUGGGAAUAAAUAUAAGCGGGCAAACAAGGGUCAGGGAUGAACAGUAUUUCCCUUAAGAUAUCUAAAAGUAGCUGUCUCUGGGAUGUAUCGUGAAAAGGGACUUGUUUAAUCAUUGAGACAGUCUGCUUUUUAAUCAGUUAGCCAUUUUAUUGUGUUGUGCUCAGAUUCACAGGCUGAUACAUGUGGAAACCAUUUGCAUACACUAUACACGCCCUAUGUUCAUCAUGGCUCAUAAAAUGGAAAUUGUUGGUAAUUUCAUCCAAAGGCUGCAAUGCAAUCUUUACUGUU
ensembl:lncRNA